rnacentral:rRNA from 3 species
CGCGACCCCAGGUCAGGCG